GACGAACGCUGGCGGCGUGCCUAAUACAUGCAAGUCGAACGCUUCUUUCCUCCCGAGUGCUUGCACUCAAUUGGAAAGAGGAGUGGCGGACGGGUGAGUAACACGUGGGUAACCUACCCAUCAGAGGGGGAUAACACUUGGAAACAGGUGCUAAUACCGCAUAACAUUUUAUGCCGCAUGGCAUAAGAGUGAAAGGCGCUUUCGGGUGUCGCUGAUGGAUGGACCCGCGGUGCAUUAGCUAGUUGGUGAGGUAACGGCUCACCAAGGCCACGAUGCAUAGCCGACCUGAGAGGGUGAUCGGCCACACUGGGACUGAGACACGGCCCAGACUCCUACGGGAGGCAGCAGUAGGGAAUCUUCGGCAAUGGACGAAAGUCUGACCGAGCAACGCCGCGUGAGUGAAGAAGGUUUUCGGAUCGUAAAACUCUGUUGUUAGAGAAGAACAAGGACGUUAGUAACUGAACGUCCCCUGACGGUAUCUAACCAGAAAGCCACGGCUAACUACGUG
rnacentral:rRNA from 1 species